CGGGCGGCGUGGGAGAAGGGGUGGGGACGUCGGGGGCGCUGUGGGGAGAACUCGGGGCUGCGGCGGUGGGAGGGUGGGCCGGAGCGGGCCCGGGGUGGAGCUCGAGGCCGGGACGUCGGGGGUUGGGGCUGCUGGGGACCCGGUGUCUAGCCCCAGCUGAAUUGAGUCGGUCCGCUCCCCGGGGAGUUUGGAGGAAAGGGAGCCGGACAGCAGGUGAUGUCCGCGCCCUUGGCGAAACCGACUGUUGGGGAAGCGAGGGGCGGGGUUGGGGGCGCUGCUCCCUGGUCUGUUGGCCUGGGGAUGGGGCUACCCGGCCAGCUCAGACCCCAGCCGAGAAGCUCAAGCUUUUGGGACAUCUGUCUCCCCAUCCUUAGAUGGAAGAUGAGGUAGAGGCUAAAGUCAUAGUCACUGCUGAUCCUCUGGUGACCCUCUCCUCAGAGUCUCUGUAGAGGGGGAGACUGGAAGAAGGGGGCUCCAGGAGACGAGGGGAAGGCCUGGAGUUGGUAGAGACAGAAAGGAGAAGCAAAUCGUGUCACCCUGAGACCCCAAAUCUAAAUUAAAACAGAUGCAGGAGGGGGUGUGGCAUCAAGGAGAAUCUUGACAAGCCUCCUGGGCUUGGACUUUUCCCUGUCUGCAGCCACAGGCGGGAGGACAGCAGGGCUCUGAGUGCGGCUGAGCGGCACUGGAUGCCCACACAGUGUUGGCAGCCUUUCGAUGGCAGUGAGGGCCCGAGGCUGGGUCAGCGGGGCAGAGUGCAGCUCCCUAUCAGAAUCUGAACACGGAGCACCUGCCUUCGGCCCAGUGCCUCAGUCCUUGGUGACCUGUCUCUGGACAGUGCCCAGAGGCAAAGCGAGGGGGUGGGAAACGCACUUCUCAGUGGUCCCGGAGCAGGACACCAUUCAGUUCCUGCUUCUCCAGGAAGACCAUCAUUUUUUCCCAGGAUCAAGGAUGGGUGGAGACUGCUGCUCCCUGAGUUAAUUCUCUGACAGACCCAGCUGACUGGUCCAUGGCGGAGAAGUGCCUUUUACUAACUCUAGUGUCCACCUCAACCAGGCAAGCUCCCCACUGUGGUUUUCCCGUCUGAGCAAAGCAAGCUGAAUGCAUGUGCCCCAUUUUCAGUGCCUGGAGGUCACUGGAGAGGCCAGAGUGCAGAAGAGCCAGGGGACACCAGAGAAUCAGAAAGACACCAGGGAAGCAGAUCACACAGGGCCUUGUGCUGCGCAAGCAGCCAUACAGGUCUGGAGCCCAGGGUGUGGUCUCUAGGGCUGAGGGGCAAGGAUAGGAUCAGGAACUGUUGGCCAUGUGCUUGGACCAGAGAGCUGGCGGUAGCAGACAGGCUCUGGCCAUCCUACAGGGAGCGCUCACAGGCCUCCCAACACUUGGGA